AACGAACGCUGGCGGCAGGCUUAACACAUGCAAGUCGAGCGCCCCGCAAGGGGAGCGGCAGACGGGUGAGUAACGCGUGGGAAUCUACCCAUCUCUACGGAAUAACGCAUGGAAACGUGUGCUAAUACCGUAUACGUCCUUCGGGAGAAAGAUUUAUCGGAGAUGGAUGAGCCCGCGUUGGAUUAGCUAGUUGGUGGGGUAAAGGCCUACCAAGGCGACGAUCCAUAGCUGGUCUGAGAGGAUGAUCAGCCACACUGGGACUGAGACACGGCCCAGACUCCUACGGGAGGCAGCAGUGGGGAAUAUUGGACAAUGGGCGCAAGCCUGAUCUAGCCAUGCCGCGUGAGUGAUGGAGGCCCUAGGGUUGUAAAGCUCUUUCACCGGUGAAGAUAAUGACGGUAACCGGAGAAGAAGCUCCGGCUAACUUCGUGCCAGCCGCCGCGGUAAGAC
rnacentral:rRNA from 1 species